UCAACAUGUACUACAGACGCUUGCAGUUAGGACUCCCUAUUAAUGAGCAUGUUUGUUUGGCUAUGAUAAGGAGCAGGGAUGUGUGUAUGUAUCUGUGUGUGCCAAAGGAACAUGAGCUCAUGCCUUCUAAGUGUAUCUCGAUUUACCCUGGAAAAAAAACCUGAUUUGCGAGACGUAAAUGCACCUACAUGAGAGGGGACAAUCUACAUGUGCUUUUAGAGUGAAGGAAGCACAAUAGCGGAUACGAUACAGAAGAAGCCUUGUUUUGGUUACUGAGACCAAAAACACGAGCUGUAGUCACUAUGGCAAAUAGGGAAGAUAUCUGCAACAGUUGUAGUAAACAUUAUUAUCGCUACAACACAAUGAAUGAAUGCUUCGGUUUUCAGAGGUUCUUAUAAAUGUUAUGUAGACAUUAUGAAAUCAUGGAUAAUUUAUUCACUGACUGAAAUGUUUAUUAUUAACAACAGCAACAAUGAUACCAAACUCACCAAAAUAACCGCAUUUGAUUUUUUCAUGCAGCAUUUAG